GUACCAGAUCAAUGUGGAGCUAUAAACAGGGAGUACCAGUACCAGAUCAAUGUGGAGCUAUAAAGAGGGAGUACCAGUACCAGAUCAAUGUGGAGCUAUAAACAGGGAGUACCAGUACCAGAUCAAUGUGGAGCUAUAAACAGGGAGUACCAGAUCAAUGUGGAGCUAUAAAUAGGGAGUACCAGUACCAGAUCAAUGUGGAGCUAUAUACAGGGAGUACCAGUACAAGAUCAAUGUGGAGCUAUAUACAGGGAGUACCAGUACCAGAUCAAUGUGGAGCUAUAAACAGGGAGUACCAGAUCAAUGUGGAGCUAUAAACAGGGAGUACCAGUACCAGAUCAAUGUGGAGCUAUAAACAGGGAGUACCAGUAACAGAUCAAUGUGGAGCUAUAAACAGGGAGUACCAGUACCAGAUCAAUGUGGAGCUAUAUAGAGGGAGUACCAGUACCAGAUCAAUGUGUAGCUCUAAACAGGGAGUACCAGUACCAGAUCAAUGUGGAGCUAUAAACAGGGAGUACCAGUACCAG
ensembl:lncRNA